rnacentral:rRNA from 1 species
CCGCACGGGUGAGUAACACGUAUGCAAUCCACCUGUAACAGGGGGAUAACCCGGAGAAAUCCGGACUAAUACCCCAUAAUAUGGGCGCUCCGCAUGGAGAGCCCAUUAAAGAGAGCAAUUUUGGUUACAGACGAGCAUGCGCUCCAUUAGCCAGUUGGCGGGGUAACGGCCCACCAAAGCGACGAUGGAUAGGGGUUCUGAGAGGAAGGCCCCCACAUUGGAACUGAGACACGGUCCAA